rnacentral:rRNA from 1 species
AGUGAACGCUGGCGGCAGGCCUAACACAUGCAAGUCGAGCGGCAGCGCGGGGGCAACCCUGGCGGCGAGCGGCGGACGGGUGAGGAAUUCGUCGGAAUCUGCCUUUUUGUGGGGGAUACCGUAGGGAAACUUACGCUAAUACCGCAUACGUCCUACGGGAGAAAGUGGGGGACCGCAAGGCCUCACGCAGAAAGAUGAGCCGACGACCGAUUAGCUAGUUGGUGGGGUAACGGCACACCACGGCGACGAACGUUAGCUGGUCUGAGAGGAUGAUCAGCCAGACGUGGAUUGAGACACGGCCCGCACUCCAACGGGAGGCAGGAAGGGGAAAUAUUGGAAAAUGGACGAAGACAUGACCCAGCCAUGCCGAGCUUGAGAAGAAGACCUUCGGGUUGUAAAGCAAUUUUGUCCGGAAAGAAAUCUCUGGAGCUAAGACAUUCGGGGGAUGACGGUACCGGAAGAAUAAGCACCGGCUAACUUCGUG